UCCCGUGUAGCUCAGUUGGUAGAGCAUGACGUUUGAAACGCCAGGAUUGUGGGUUCGAUUCCCAUGAGGGAC
rfam:Salmo salar isolate Sally breed double haploid chromosome ssa17, whole genome shotgun sequence.